AAUCUAUAUUACUAAACUAUUAAGAUCUUAUGUUGAUAAUAUGAAAAGAGAACUAUUAUUAAGAGUAGAAAAUUAUCAUCUUAAAAAUUUUCCAAAUACAAUUAAUAAUUUAAGGGAAAGUAUAGUUGAAAAAGAAAUACAGUUAAAAGAAGUAAUGACUAGUCAAAGAACGUGAAAGCCGUGUACGCGAAAACGACGCAGACCUUAUAUAUGUUUUUUCGAGUAGGACGGGGCACGAGAAACCCUGUUUGAAUCCGGCUGGACCACCAGCCAAGGCUAAAUAUAAUAUACGAUCGAUAGUGAACUAGUACAGCGAUGGAAAGGUGAAAAGAACCCCGGGAGGGGAGUGAAAUAGAACCUGAAAUUGUGUGCCUACAAGGAGUCGGAGCAGUAUUUAUGCUGUGACGGCGUGCUUUUUGUAGAACGAUCCAGCGAGUUAAUUUCAUGCGCCAGGUUAAGUCAAGUGACGGAGCCACAGUGAAAGCGAGCCUGAAUAGGGCGAUAAGUGCAUGGGAUUAGACCCGAAACCGGGUGACCUAACCAUGAGCAGGUUGAAGCUGCGGUAACACGCAGUGAAGGACCGAACCAGUUUGCGCAGUAAAGCAUUUGGAUGACUUGUGGUUAGCGGUGAAAUGCCAAUCGAACUCGGAGAUAGCUGGUUCUCCUCGAAAUAGCUUUAGGGCUAGCGUCAUGUAAUAUAGCCAACGGGGGUAGAGCUCUGUAAACGACUGGGGCGGGCAACUGUACCCACCGUUAACAAACUACGAAUACCGUUGGUGGUACCAUGGCAGUUAGAACAUCGGGGCUAAGCUCGGUGCUCAAAAGGGAAACAGCCCAGACCAUCAUCUAAGGUCCCUAAAUUAACACUAAGUGGGAAACAAGGUGAAAUUUCUUAAACAGCGAGGAUGUUGGCUUAGAAGCAGCCAUUCAUUUAAAGAGUGCGUAACAGCUCACUCGUCAAGAGAUUUUGCGUGGAAAAUGUAACGGGGCUAAAGUGUUAUACCGAAGAUAUGGAUUUCGUUAUUCCUACGGGUUUAACGGAGUGGUAGAGGAGCGUUCCUAUCGGCGGUGAAGCUCAAUCGUAAGGUUGGGUGGAGCGUUAGGAAGUGAGAAUGCUGGAAUGAGUAACCAUAAGAAAGGUGAGAAUCCUUUCGGCCGUAAGAGCGAGGUUUCCAGGGCUACUGUAAUAAUCCCUGGGUUAGUCGGGCCUAAGCCGAGGCGCAGCAGCGUAGGCGAUGGACAUCAGGUUAAUAUUCCUGAACCGGUUAUAAUUUGUAUACUGUGUACGGUAAAUUAGUCGAAGCGGAUUAUUGGUAUAUAUCCGUCCAACUUAGCGGGAACGUAAAAGGAGUGAAAGUUAAUCUACGGAUUAACGAUUUUGAUGAAAGUACUGGCUAGAAAAGCAGAUAUACGCGUGGUUAUAGCCGCCCGUACCGCAAACCAACACAGGUGCUCGAGUCGAGUAGACUCAGGCUUACGAGAGACCCUUCGCUAAGGAACUCGGCAAAACAGCGACCGUAACUUCGGGAUAAGGUCUGCCUCCGCAUCAUUCGAUGCGAGUCGUGUUUCAAGCAAUUAGGUUAAGAUUAAUGGUAUAUAUGAGUAUCUUAAACUUCUUUACCGAGAUAGAACAAGUCAAAUGGCUUAGCUUGGAACGUGGCAAACUCGUAUCAAACGAUGCGGAGGCCGCAGCAAAAGAGCCCACGGAACUGUUUACCAAAAACACAGGUCUCUGCGAACACGAAAGUGGAUGUAUAGGGGCUGACUCCUGCCCAGUGCUGGAAGGUUAAGGGGAGUGCUUUACGGUGCGAACUGAAGCCCCAGUGAACGGCGGCGGUAACUAUAACCGUCCUAAGGUAGCGAAAUUCCUUGUCAGGUAAGUUCUGACCCGCACGAAUGGAGUAAUCAUGUGGGCACUGUCUCGGCGAAGGACUCGGUGAAAGUGCAUUGGCGGUAAAGAUGCCGUCUGUCCAUGCCAGGACGAGAAGACCCCAUGGAGCUUUACUACAGCUUUACAUUGACACGGGUUACAUCAUGUGUAGCAUAGGUGGGAGGCUUUGAAGCAGAUACGCCAGUAUUUGUGGAGCCACAGGUGAAAUACCACCCUUGAUGUAGUCUUUGUCUUACCAUUGCCGUUAUCCGGUAAUGGGACCGUGUAUGGUGGGUAGUUUAACUGGGGCGGUUGCCUCCUAAAGAGUAGCGG
rnacentral:rRNA from 1 species